CUGAGAAGGAAUGCAACUUCCUCCCGACAAACUGCAGUGCAAACGUUUGUCCGAAUUUCCCAUGGCAAAAAAUGAGUCAUGUCCUGAUAAAAUUGUGAAGACAGGCAUCCAGACGGGUUACGCUCUGUGUCUCGAUGGACCUUGUGAACGACUCUUGCAAGAAUGUGAUGCCUUUUCGACAAGGAGAGGAUGGAGUGGGACAGAUUUCAUAUCUCUUCUCCCCUUUGCAUCCAAAGAAAUUUUCAGUUUCUGUCAUGGCCUAGAGGGAGGGCCCAAGUUUGCCCAUGCUUGUUUUAAACCCAGAAGAGACUGAAUGACCGUCCCAGAAAUUUAGAACUGGCACCAGAUGCAAAGAAGGAUGUGAUUGACACAUCCCAUUGGGCAGCUGACCCCUCUGAAGGAGACUUACCUGGGGACCAGGGAUUGAAGAGCAGGACGAACUCUCCCAGGUCGAAGCUGGAUCCUUGGCCUUCUGUGGAGACGUCUACGGUCAGGCGGUAGCGGCCGAUGCGGGCAUCCGGAGGAGGGAAGACGAAGAGGGUCAGGGAGGACCCAUCCUGGCCUUCCACAGCAGAGCUCCAGACGGUCUCUUCCAGGGAGCAAGAGAGGGGGAAGGAGGACUUGGUCCCAGAUGUCUCAAUGGGGCAAGGACCUGCAGGACAAAGGAGAAGCAUAGAAUCAUAGAAUCAUAGAGUUGGACGAGACCUCAUGGACCAUCUAGUCCAACCCCUUUCUGCCAAGAAGCAGGACAAUCACAUUCAAAGCACCCCCUACAGAUGACCAUCCAUCCUUUGUUUAAAAGCCUCCAAAGAAGGAGUCUCCACCACACUCCAGGGCAGAGAAUUCCACAGCUCUAUCUCACAGUCAGGAAGUUCUUGGAAUCUACUUUCCUGUAGUUUGAAGCCGUUGUUCCGCGUCCUAGUUUCCAGGGCAGCAGAAAGCAAGCUUACUCCUUCCUCCCUAUGACUUCCCCUCCCCACACAUCAUGUUGGAUUAUGGUUAUAUGUGUAUGAAAUGUAAAUCAAGUGUUUUCUGUUGUUAGGCAAGAGUGUGUGUUUCAGUAAUGAAACAGUUAACAGCAGGGUUGUUGUAUGUCUUUCGGGCUGUUAACAGUUAACAGCAGGCUAGUUUUGACUGACAGCCUGCUAUGACCUGUCAGGCAUGAUUUCCGCCUUUGGAGGUCGGAACUUCCUUCGGACUGAGCAAUGUGUUUUUUUCUUAUCUCUGAGUGAGUUGAGCUGGUGCUUGCCGAGGCAAGAGGCUGUAAAUAGAAGAAUGCCAGCUCAGAGCGAUGGCUUUUCCUAUGCUUUGUAAAUAUGUUUGUAGAUAUUAAAAUAAAUGUUUGGACUUCAGACUA